GAUGAACGCUGGCGGCGUGCCUAAUACAUGCAAGUCGAGCGAACAGACGAGGAGCUUGCUCCUCUGUCGUUAGCGGCGGACGGGUGAGUAACACGUGGAUAACCUACCUAUAAGACUGGGAUAACUUCGGGAAACCGGAGCUAAUACCGGAUAACAUGUUGAACCGCAUGGUUCAACAGUGAAAGACGGUCUUGCUGUCACUUAUAGAUGGAUCCGCGCCGCAUUAGCUAGUUGGUAAGGUAACGGCUUACCAAGGCAACGAUGCGUAGCCGACCUGAGAGGGUGAUCGGCCACACUGGAACUGAGACACGGUCCAGACUCCUACGGGAGGCAGCAGUAGGGAAUCUUCCGCAAUGGGCGAAAGCCUGACGGAGCAACGCCGCGUGAGUGAAGAAGGUCUUCGGAUCGUAAAACUCUGUUAUUAGGGAAGAACAAAUGUGUAAGUAACUAUGCACGUCUUGACGGUACCUAAUCAGAAAGCCACGGCUAACUACGUG
rnacentral:rRNA from 1 species